GAGACCUUGGCUCAAUGGUAGAGCGUUCGACUUAUAUACCAAAGGUCGCGGGUUCCAAUCCCAGGGGUUCA
rfam:Schistocephalus solidus strain NST_G2 genome assembly, scaffold: SSLN_scaffold0014801